GACAGAGGGUGCAAACGUUGUUCGGAAUUACUGGGCGUAAAGCGCGUGUAGGCGGCAAGCCAAGUCGGGUGUGAAAGCCCUGGGCUCAACCCAGGAAGUGCAUUCGAUACUGGCAAGCUAGAGUCCCGGAGAGGAUGGUGGAACUCUCGGUGUAGAGGUGAAAUUCGUAGAUAUCGAGAGGAACACCGGUGGCGAAGGCGGCCAUCUGGACGGUGACUGACGCUGAGACGCGAAGGCGUGGGGAGCAAACAGG
rnacentral:rRNA from 1 species